UACGUAGGGUGCAAGCGUUAAUCGGAAUUACUGGGCGUAAAGCGUGCGCAGGCGGUUUUGUAAGUCUGAUGUGAAAUCCCCCGGGCUCAGCCUGGGAAUUGCAUUGGAGACUGCAAGGCUAGAAUCUGGCAGAGGGGGGGUAGAAUUCCACGUGUAGCAGUGAAAUGCGUAGAGAUGUGGAGGAACACCGAUGGCGAAGGCAGCCCCCUGGGUCAAGAUUGACGCUCAUGCACGAAAGCGUGGGGGAGCAA
rnacentral:rRNA from 1 species